UUUCCAUUUUUACAGUAGUACCUUACAACAAUCUCUUCCUCCAAUCUGUGUUUGCUCAGAAUCUGACUAUGGCGGAUUGAGUUUUACUCUGUGUGUUUGAAGUUUUGGUUUUAGGCCACAAAGUCUGGCAGUAAUUGAGCAGCGAACCUUUUUCCAUUUUGGAUGUUGAUGGUCUCAAAAGCAGUGGAAGAAUGAGCUGUAGAGGCGUUAAUGGCGGAAAAAUCAGUGGGUUUUCCAAUUUCUGUUCUUCUUCCUAAAUGGAUGCUCUGGUUUGGGAGAAAGCUUUGGUGGGUAGCUGCGUUUAACGAGAGAUUUUCACAAUGGGGAAGGCCUAACGUCAAAGAGACACCAUUAUUGCCGGAGAAUCUUGGAGUAAACUGAUCGGCGUCGAAUCUGGCGAUUUCGCCGAUUGGGUAUUGGGCGAAUCCGCCGAUGUUGAAAUGGGGUUGGCCUAGAAAUGAAUACCCAUCUCUGUUUUGUCUCUCGUCGUCGAAUUUCAUUGGAAGAUGAUGAUUAUGAUGGGGAUUGUGAUUGUGAUUGUGAUUUUGAUGUUCUUCUUCUUCUCGGGGUUUGAUGUCCAUGUUUAUGAAAGGGACGUUGUUAUUUGAGGAAUGAAGGAUUUCUGGGCCUCUCUGUUUUUUAGGGCUUCCUCGUGUGAUUCCGUCGAGCUCCGAUGAGGCUCCGAUGAGUGUAAAUCCAGAUGGGUUUCGAACAUUUCCGCCGGAGGAAUUUGAGAUUGAGAUUGAAGGAUGCACGUUUUGGUUUGGAUUUGGGCUUUUUUCCUCUUGUUUUGAAUUGGGGCUUUUUGUCUCUGGUGGUGGAGCUAUGGAUUUCGAAACUGAAUCGUCGUUGCUUUUUUCCGUCGCCGGUGUCGAUCCGCUGCCGUUCUGUUCUUGCUCUUUGAUUUCCUCCAUGUACAUCUCUUCCACCAUUGGCUUCCACAGUCGAACUCUCGCGUUUAUAAACCAAUUCGAAACCUGGCUUCUGGUGAGCCCUGUUUGCUUAGCGAGCAUGUGUUUAUCUGAAUCCUUAGGGUAAGGAUGGAGGAAGUGUUCGAAAAGCCAAGCCCGAAGAAUCGAUACCGAUCUCUCCGGUAAGCCCCUCUGAGGUCUCCAAGCAUUGUGUUGGAUCAUGCCCAAUUGUUGCAGAGCUCGUUGUUGCCGGAGAUGGUUAUCGACGAAUUUCAACCGGGAACCUUCCAUUUUUCUUCCGAUACAUUCUUCUUCACCCAAACUCUUGUUCGCCGCUCGGAUUUGGCCGGUGAUUGCGUCUUUUAAGCAACGGAAUUGCUUCGAAAUCGUCUGAAGUGCAAGGGCGGUGUAGGUUCUCGCCGAACCGGCUCCGGCCGCCUGCUCGAAUGAGGAUAUCACUAUCUGCAUCUG
rnacentral:misc_RNA from 1 species